rnacentral:hammerhead_ribozyme from 1 species
GGACUGCUGAGGAGUCCCAUAAUAGGCUGAAACGGCCGUCCAGUGC